UUCACUGAAUCGUCUGAUUGGUCUGAAUUACUUUCAUUUUCGGAGAAACGGGAAAUCCGUGUAGUUUAGUUCCUUUUCAUUUGCUUUCCAGAGGCGACCAGAGCUAGCUUUAUAUCUCCUUGGUGCUAGAGUGAACACAGAUUGACAGAAGAAAUUUAUACAGACAAGCUACUGACUACUGUAGUUGAAGGACUCGUCAACUCUGAACUUUGUCUUUG